UGGGGAAUUUUGGACAAUGGGCGAAAGCCUGAUCCAGCCAUGCCGCGUGAGUGAAGAAGGCCUUCGGGUUGUAAAGCUCUUUUAGUCGGAAAGAAAGAGUCGCAAUGAAUAAUUGUGAUUUAUGACGGUACCGACAGAAAAGCACCGGCUAACUACGUGCCAGCAGCCGCGGUAAUACGUAGGGUGCGAGCGUUAAUCGGAAUUACUGGGCGUAAAGGGUGCGCAGGCGGUUUUGCAAGUCAGAUGUGAAAGCCCCGGGCUUAACCUGGGAAUUGCGUUUGAAACUACAAGGCUAGAGUGCAGCAGAGGGGAUGGAAUUCCAGUGUGUAGCAGUGAAAUGCGUAGAGAUGUGGAAGAACACCGAUGGCGAAGGCAGCUCCCUGGGUUGACACUGACGCUCAU
rnacentral:rRNA from 1 species